rnacentral:lncRNA from 1 species
UGAUGAAUGAAUUAUAGCAACGGUUGUUUGUCUUGAGUUUUGUUGCAGGCCAGUGCCUGUGAUUUGGUGAUCGCAGGCAAUGGGUUUUUGCAGCCUUGGUCUACUUGUUUUUGGAGGCCUGAGGCACACAAUUCUUGGAAUAGAAGAAGUCAACAACAGAACCAUCGUGGGAUAAUCUCUUGCAGCCUCGGUCUAUUUGUUUAUGGGCGGUGCGAGCCCUACGGAUGAUACUACACACUUGUUAUGAUGCUGUUUUGGUCCAGAGCUCCGGCUCCGUUUGGUUGAUGGAAUUUGUUAAAUGAGCCCUGUGGGUGGGGCGCGUCCCCAAGUUGAUUUAUAGCCUGGAAGGUCCGUGUAGAGUGUAUAUGAUUGGGCGGUUAUCGGUGGAUUACCAAUACGAUGGUUUCAUUUUUUCUUUCUGUCGUUGCAGGAUUCAGUGAAUCCAGUUUUGUCCGUACAAUUUGUUGAACAUCGCUCAAGCAUGUCUCUAUGGUUUGACAGAGGCUGGUGAAAUAAACUUUGCCUGCAUCUGGUAACCUGGAUUUGGUUAUCAUCACCACCAUGCAAUACAGUAUUUUUUUUGGGUGAUAUUUGUCGUCCGAUCAUCAUGAGCAUUCCUGAUUUGUUGCAUUCUGU